rnacentral:ncRNA from 1 species
GGCACAACAUUGGGGUGCCGGAAGUAGAGCUUCCGGCUGAGAACAUACCCAUGGAACCUGCUCUUAGUUAGAACUAGCGAAGGAAAGUGUUGUGAAAGAAGCA